rnacentral:misc_RNA from 1 species
GAUGAAGAACGCAGCGAAAUGCGAUAAGUAGUGUGAAUUGCAGAAUUCAGUGAAUCAUCGAAUCUUUGAACGCACAUUGCGCCCUUUGGUAUUCCAAAGGGCAUGCCUGUUCGAGCGUCAUUUGUACCCCCAAGCUUUGCUUGGUGUUGGGCGUCUUGUCUCUCUCCCGAGACUCGCCUUAAAAUCAUUGGCAGCCGGCCUACUGGUUUCGGAGCGCAGCACAUUAUUUGCGCUCUUGUCCAGCCGCGGUCGCGCGUCCAUGAAGCUUCUUUCAAACUUUUGACCUCGGAUCAGGUAGGGAUACCCGCUGAACUUAAGCAUAUCAAUAAGCGGAGGA